rnacentral:lncRNA from 1 species
UGGGGGUCGUGUUGUUCAAUCGUAAGUUUUCUAUGUUGCGCUGUGUGACUACUGGUGUUGGUAUUUUUUCUGUUUUUGCUAUGGCGUUGUCGUUUUGUGUACUGGUGUUGGUAUUUUUCUGUUUUUGUAUGGCGUUGUCCGUUUUGUGUACUGGUGUUGGUAUUUUUCUGUUUUUGCUAUGGCGUUGUCGUUUUGUGUACUGGUGUUGGUAUUUUUCUGUUUUUGCUAUGGCGUUGUCGUUUUGUGUACUGGUGUUGGUAUUUUUUCUGUUUUUGCUAUGGCGUUGUCGUUUUGUGUACUGGUGUUGGUAUUUUUCUGUUUUUUCUAUGGCGUUGUCGUUUUUAUUUAUCGACUGAUGAGUUUGAAUGUCCUUUUGGUAUCUGAGCAAAAGAUGAAAGAAAAAACAUCGAUAGCGUCAUUAUCUGAAGUCCAUCUCAAAGUCACAUUACUUAGUCUGUAGUACUUACAUCAUGUUUAUAUAAAUGUAUAUCUUAAAUGAGAGAGAAAAAACAUUAAGUGUCCAUAUUUUGCACAUACUUAUUUUCGUGUAGUUUUUUCUCUCAC